UACAGAGGGUGCAAGCGUUAUUCGGAAUUAUUGGGCGUAAAGCGCACGUAGGCGGUCUUUCAAGUCCGGUGUGAAAUCCCUGUACUCAAUACAGGAAGUGCAUUGGAUACUGUUAGACUGGAGAAUGGGAGAGGAGAGCGGAAUUCCUGGUGUAGAGGUGAAAUUCGUAGAUAUCAGGAGGAACAACAGAGGCGAAGGCGGCUCUCUGGACCAUUUCUGACGCUGAGGUGCGAAAGCGUGGGGAGCAAACAGG
rnacentral:rRNA from 1 species